AAGUCGUAACAAGGUUUCCGUAGGUGAACCUGCGGAAGGAUCAUUAUUGAAUGAACUUGACUUUGGUUGCAUGCUGGGUCUUUUCGAAGGCAUGUGCACACCUUGUCAUCUUUAUAUCUCCACCCGUGCACCUUUUGUAGACCUGUAUUCCAACUUUCCGAGGCAACUCGGUCGGAGGAAUUGCUUUAAUAAGCUUUCCUUGUAAGUUUCCGAGGCCUAUGUUUUCAUACUACAACCCAUACGAAUUGUAACCGAAUGUCAUUAUUAGGCUUAUUGUCUUAUAAACUAUAUACAA
rnacentral:misc_RNA from 1 species